CGGAGUAGCUCAGUCGGUAGAGCAGUUCACUCGUAAUGAAAAGGUCGGGGGUUCGAUUCCUCUCUCCGG
rnacentral:tRNA from 1 species